rnacentral:tRNA from 1 species
GGGGAUGUGCUCAGUGGUAGAGCGCUUGCCUGGCAUGUAAGGCUCUAGGUUCCAUCCCAAGCACCACAA